rnacentral:rRNA from 1 species
UACGAGAGGUGCAAGCGUUAUUCGGAAUCAUUGGGCGUAAAGGGCGCGUAGACGGCGCAUUAAGUCUGCUGUUAAAUCCUUCGGCUUAACUGAAGAUCUGCAGCGGAAACUGGUGUGCUAGAGGAUGGAAGAGAGAAGUGGAAUUCUUGGAGUAGCGGUAAAAUGCGUAGAUCUCAAGAGGAACACCGAUGGCGAAGGCAGCUUCUUGGUCCAUUUCUGACGUUGAGGCGCGAAAGCGUGGGGAGCAAACAGG